GACCCGCGCGGGGCUGCGAUGUCAUCGCGGCGACGCGGGCGUCCGCUAGCCCCGCCUUCUCCAUUUAAAUCGCCGGACUCAACAUGGCGGCGCGCGCGCGCUCGGACGCUUGACCCGGGUGCCCCCUAGCGCGGGAGCUCUUCUGCGAGGUGAGACUCAUUCGAACAAGACAGGCAGGCUGCCAAAGCACACUGAACAUGCCUCAGAUAUUCAGGGCCCCGUCUCCACCACACCCUCUCAAAGUCCUGGCACCCCAGAGAAUUUUCAUGAAAGGAGGACCUGCUGCCCCUGACCUUCGCUUGUGACUCUGCCUGAAAGCAGGGUUGACCGUGAUGCGUAACUUACAAUAGACCUCUGGAACCGGGAACUCUUGUGUGCAACAUAGGUCACUUUUCUUCUUAUGAUGGAAGUCUCAUACGUGCAUCAGAAGAAUGACUUCAGGGCACGAGACUUCAGGGAUGCUGAGCCUUGAUUCUCAAGUUGUAUCUCAAAUCCAAUCCAGUGCAGCUCUGGGGACUUGUGUAUAGAUCACCUCUCUCAGCAGAGCAGGCUUUGGCAAACGAGUUAACGGUGAAGAGUCAAUAACUACUGAAGUGCUUUCUCCUGAGUCCAGUGGCUCUCAGAUCCUGGAGUUGGUGUGAAACCUAACUCUCCCUCUCCCUCUCUCUCUUUCUCUCUGCAGAUAUUUUUGCAAAGAUCUCUAAACUCCUGCAAAUACCAUUUCAUUAAUCCUCUUUACAUCAGCCCAGUGUACUAGGCAUGCAAAGACGUCUUAUUUCCGUAGAGACUAGAGAAGGACAGUCCGUCAAGGUUUCACAGUGAUGCUGUGGUACACUGGUGAUGGUGUGAUGGAGCACACAUGGGGCUGAUUCUCCUCGGUCCUCUGCAGAAUGAUACAGCCUUUCCCCAAACAAGCAAGAUAGGGGGAGGGGAGUAACAGGUGCAAAAUACUAUGUAUAGGAAAAAAAGCUGCAGGGAUAUAUUGUACAGAGCAGGGAUGGUAGCCAGUGCUUUGUAAUAACUAUAAAUGGUGUGUAACCUUUAAAAGUUGUGAAUCA